AGCAGCCGCGGUAAUUCCAGCUCCAAUAGCGUAUAUUAAAGUUGCUGCAGUUAAAAAGCUCGUAGUUGAAUUUCGGGGUCAAUAUGUUGGUCGUGCCUUGGUACGUACUAGCUUAUUGAUUUCUCCUUUCUGACGAACCAUGAUGUCAUUAAUUUGGUGUCAUGGGGAAUCAGGACUGUUACUUUGAAAAAAUUAGAGUGUUUAAAGCAGGCUCGCGCUUGAAUACAUUAGCAUGGAAUAAUGAAAUAGGACAUUUGAUUCUAUUUUGUUGGUUUCUAGGAUCGAUGUAAUGAUUAAUAGGGAUAGUUGGGGGCAUUAGUAUUCAAUUGUCAGAGGUGAAAUUCUUGGAUUUAUUGAAGACUAACUACUGCGAAAGCAUUUUGCCAAGGAUGUUUUCAUUAAUCAAAACGAAAGUUAGGGAUCGAAGACGAUCAGAUACCGUCGUAGUCUUAACCAUAAACUAUGCCGACUAGGGAUCGG
rnacentral:rRNA from 1 species